GGCCUCCAAAGGCAUGAAGUGAACAGACCAGCCAGUGAUACAGAAUUCAAAUUCUCCCAUCCCCAUUGGAACCCUGUCAGGGAGGAGUGGUGGUCACAGGCAGCACCCGGGGCUUGUGGGACAUUGCUGUGUAAACCUCCACCCAACAACAGCCACCCAGCUGCCCACACGGUCCCCAGCAUGGAGCGGACAACUCCUUUGUUUACAAGUUGACACACCUGGAAUAUACCCAAAGCAUGCACCAGAGAUAGCCGUUCAUUUAUCUGCACCGCCUGUUUUCAACAGUCAGAUUCUCACGAACAAACCUCGUUCACCCACACCAAAAAUAACACGAACGGUUUAGAGGAAUGCAGGCCCUACUUGGUGCUGCACAGCGUUUCACGCAAGCCAUCACAGAGGGCCAAACCAGGACCCUUCUUAGGUGAUUUCAUGAACAAGGCCAAAUAUUGAUCCUGAGAGCUUCCCAC
rnacentral:lncRNA from 1 species